UACGAAGGGGGCUAGCGUUGUUCGGAUUUACUGGGCGUAAAGCGCACGUAGGCGGAUUGGUCAGUUAGGGGUGAAAUCCUGGAGCUCAACUCCGGAACUGCCCUUGAAACUGCAGUGCUAGAAUCUUGGAGAGGCGAGUGGAAUUCCGAGUGUAGAGGUGAAAUUCGUAGAUAUUCGGAAGAACACCAGUGGCGAAGGCGACUCGCUGGACAAGUAUUGACGCUGAGGUGCGAAAGCGUGGGGAGCAAACAGG
rnacentral:rRNA from 1 species